rnacentral:rRNA from 1 species
AACGAACGCUGGCGGCAGGCUUAACACAUGCAAGUCGAGCGCCCCGCAAGGGGAGCGGCAGCCGGGUGAGUAACGCGUGGGAACGUACCUUUUGGUUCGGAACAACUCCGGGAAACUGGAGCUAAUACCGGAUAAGCCCUAACGGGGAAAGAUUUAUCGCCGAAAGAUCGGCCCGCGUCUGAUUAGCUAGUUGGUGAGGUAACGGCUCACCAAGGCGACAAUCAGUAGCUGGUCUGAGAGGAUGAUCAGCCACACUGGGACUGAGACACGGCCCAGACUCCUACGGGAGGCAGCAGUGGGGAAUAUUGGACAAUGGGCGCAAGCCUGAUCCAGCCAUGCCGCGUGAGUGAUGAAGGCCUUAGGGUUGUAAAGCUCUUUUGUCCGGGAAGAUAAUGACUGUACCGGAAGAAUAAGCCCCGGCUAACUUCGUG